rnacentral:tRNA from 1 species
ACCUGGCUGGCUCAGUCAGUAGAGCAUGUGACUCUUGAUCUUGGGGCUGUGAGUUUGAGCCCCAUGCUGGGUG